rnacentral:lncRNA from 1 species
GAGCUUAGAUGGUGUCCUUGGAAUUUCUCCGCCUUGGAAAACAUCUUCUAUACUUUUUUCUUCAAUGACUGAAGAGUCAAAACAAGAAGAGUGAUUGGAUACACUUAUUUUGCUCAGAUUUCUCGAUGUUAAUUGAAUUUUCAUUCGAGACUGUUUCUGAAUUAUAACUGUAAUCUGCAACAAUUGUUAUGGCACAAAACUCCUCAAUUUUCUUAGGAAUGAUGAGAUACCCUAAAUCCAAACGCUGAAGCCACCUAAAAAAAGAGUCGUAGAAUGGAAUAUGGAAUGACUAUCAAUUUCCAAAGACCAUAAAUUAAAACGUUCAAACCUUUUGAUGGAAUGACUUUGUUCUUUUGUGAGAGGUUGAUGUUCAAACUCAACUUCCACAUGCUGUCCAAUGAGAUUGGUAACUGAUUCCAGACACCAAUUGGAAUCAUAGACCCCAAGUAAUGAAACUGAGAACGAGAAAAUCAAAUGUUGGUUAUUAAAUAAA